ensembl:lncRNA
UUUUUUUUUUUUUUUUCUGAGACGGAGUCUCUCUGUUGCCCAGGCCAGAGUGCAGUGGCAUGAUCUCAGCUCACUGCAACCUCCACCUACCGGGUUCAAGUGAUUCUCCUGCCUCAACCUCCUGAGUAGCUAGGAUUACAGACACUCGCCACCACGCCCAGUGCAGGGAUUACAGGCAUGAGCCACCAUGCCCAGCCUAUUUUAUAUAUUUAACAAAACUUACAUAGCAGUUUCUAAGUACCAGGCCCUAUUCAAAGCAGUUCAUACAUAUUAACUCAUUUACUCUUCCUAACUACGCUAUGCUAUAGUAUGAACCUGACCUCCCCGUUUUACAGAUGAGAAAACUGAGGUGAAGGGAAAUUAAGCAAAUUGUCCAAGACGACCCAGCUAGUAAGAGGAGAACACAGGAUUCACAUUCAGCAGUCUGGAGCCACAACCUACACUCUUCGAUUAGCUCACUCACAGGGCUGCCUUAUAGAUUCAAGCUUACAUUUAUUAGCUACCUUAGUCUCUCCUAUCAAGGUGCACAGCAAAUGUGGCUUCUCAGCCUUCAUUCCAUGUUAACCUUAUAUUGUUUGCAUCACCCUUGAACACUGAGACCAAGGAUCUCACCACUUGCUUGUUCUAUUUUCCUUCCAUCACCCAGAAUGGCAAACAUUCAAACAUUUCCACUCCCAAAACAUGCAGCAACACCAGAAUGUUUAUCCAGAAAUUCAAAAGGAGCUCUAGUGAGGCUGGCAUGAACAUACUCUAACACAAUGUUUUCAAAUAUCGUGGCUCAACAAUGAUCAGUGCUAAGGUUACUGCGAACGACAUCUAAGGCCUGAAAUUGCUCUCUGCUGUAACCCAGCACUGAAGGUGACUGUGGCCUUUGCAUGUUGGCUUUGAAAGGUCCCAAGUCUGUCUACUUGGAAAUAAAUUAAAAUGUUGUCUAUAUUUAACAGGUACCCCAGGCCUUACUAAGCAAUCUAAAAAACAUACUCUAGAAGCAUGCUGCAAAGGCUCCCUUCCUGACCACUUUGCAGAAGAGAAACUAACCUUGCAACAGCAAGUCAGGACCCUCCCCCACUACCACCCUCCAGAAAACAAAAAUCUCAAAAGUUUUAGUAUAGUCGGGUCCGUAAGCAAGAGUAAGGAAGUAAUAAGCCAAGCCGCACAUUGGAAAACUUGAUCCUUUUACGAAAGGAUGAACAGGCUCACUGAUUCAGGUGGGAAAGAAGCCCAAGUACUGAGAGGUACAGCUGCUGAAGACC